CAACGGCUCUCUGAUUCACAACACCUCGCCGAUAAAAUCCUACUAUAACAUUAUAUCUGUGUAAUGUACACUAUUAUUUAGGUUCUGAAUGAUUCGUAGUGUUGUCAGAUAGUUUAGUCGGUGAGACUAACGGAUUCGGUGGUGUGACGUUUAGACUGUGAACCGGAGAAACCUCUGCAAGAGAGACGCUAACUCGGUUAGCCUGACGAGCUAUCCAACGUUAACUACUAUCAACCAAAUAUCAAAGUUGUAUUUAAAAAUAUAAAUAUUAUUAGUGCUAGCUAACUCGGUUAGCCUGACGAGCUAUCUAACGUCAACUACUAUCAACCAAACAUCAAAGUUGUAUUAUUAUAUAAAUAUAUAUAUUAUUAGUGCUUAGCUAACUCGGCUAGUGAUGCAGUUAUCCAGGGCAUGGAUGGUUAGCUUGUAGCGUUCAGAUUCGGCUACUGGAGACGACGUGUGGACAGACACGGACGCAGCGCGUUACCCAGCUGUAAAGGGUAUAUGCUACAGCUUGUGGAUAAAGCCACACGUUUCACUCUACGUAUGAAUCCUAACAGUCUCUAGGUGUCCGCUGUGUAAGCAGCCCUUCUCUCUCAAAUCUCCUGUACCCGGAGAAAACAGGACCGCAGCUGCCAUGGUGACCACCAGAGCAGGUGGUAACCAUGGAGAGUGAAAGAGGAGGAAGGGGAGGGAGAGGAGACAGUCAGGAUGAAGGUGGAAAGGGUGGGAACUCCUCUUCUACCCCGGCCAGAGGAUGGAGGGAUCGAUGGACAGUGGGAGCUGGCAGUGUUCCACGGCUCAUUGGUCAACAUCGUCCAACGUAUCAUCACCUCGCCAAUCGCACGCCGUGAUAGGGAGGGGGCGGGGUCAUCCAGGAUGAACUCCACCCCUUUCCAGCUGGCACGGUUGGACCACUUCUUCCACGAGCUGGAAGCCUUUGACCAGCUGGCCAUCUACGACCCUUCAGCGCCGACCUACGAGGACGGUAUGACAUCAUCAACCAGUGACACUGACCUCUCUGUCACCUCCAUCUACGACCCUCCGGCGCCGACCUACGAGGACGGUAUGACAUCAUCAACCAGUGACACUGACCUCUCUGUCACCUCCAUCUACGACCCUCCGGCGCCGACCUACGAGGACGGUAUGACAUCAUCAACCAGUGACACUGACCUCUCUGUCACCUCCAUCUGCGACCCUCCGGCGCCGACCUACGAGGACGGUAUGACAUCAUCAACCAGUGACACUGACCUCUCUGUCACCUGGCCAUCUACGACCCUCCGGUGCCGACCUACGAGGACGGUAUGACAUCAUCAACCAGUGACACUGACCUCUCUGUCACCUGGCCAUCUACGACCCUCCGGCGCCGACCUACGAGGACGGUAUGACAUCAUCAACCAGUGACACUGACCUCUCUGUCACCUCCAUCUACGACCCUCCGGCGCCGACCUACGAGGACGGUAUGACAUCAUCAACCAGUGACACUGACCUCUCUGUCACCUCCAUCUACGACCCUCCGGCGCCGACCUACGAGGACGGUAUGACAUCAUCAACCAGUGACACUGACCUCUCUGUCACCUCCAUCUCAGAGGAAGAGAUAUUGUUUUGUUACUACUUUUGGGGUGAGCUUCCAGUUGGCUCAUCUAUCCCCCCCUCCUCCUCCUCCUCCUCUCCCCUGGAACUAUUCCCCAGGUCGUUGAGGUCGUUGAGGUCGUUGGGGUAAAAGAGAAUGUGUUCUCAGUCAUCUGACCUGGGCAAAUAAAUCAAUAAAAUAAUAUAUUUUUUAGUCUGGGUCCUAUAUGGCAGCCUAUUCCCUAUUAAGUGCUCUACUGCCUGUGUAGUCCACUGUGUGGUCCACUGUGUAGUCCACUGUGUAGUUCACUGUGUAGUCCAACGUGUGGUCCACUGUGUAGUCCGCUGUGUAGUCCACUGUGUAGUUCACUGUGUAGUCCACUGUGUAGUUCACUGUGUAGUCCACUGUGUAGUUCACUGUGUAGUUCACUGUGUGGUCCACUGUGUGGUCCACUGUGUAGUUCACUGUAGUUCACUGUAGUCCACUGUGUAGUUCACUGUGUAGUUCACUGUGUGGUCCACUGUGUAGUUCACUGUGUGGUCCACUGUGUAGUUCACUGUGUAGUUCACUGUGUGGUCCACUGUAGUUCACUGUAGUCCACUGUGUAGUUCACUGUGUAGUUCACUGUGUGGUCCACUGUGUAGUUCACUGUGUAGUUCACUGUGUGGUCCACUGUGUAGUUCACUGUGUAGUCCACUGUGUAGUUCACUGUGUAGUCCACUGUGUAGUUCACUGUGUAGUUCACUGUGUAGUCAAAUGUGUAGUUCACUGUAGUUCACUGUAGUUCAUUGUAGUCCACUGUAGGGAAUAGGCUGCCAUUUGGGACUAUGCCUUAUAGUUGCUGCACUGUUUGAGAGGAGAGCUGGCAGGGAAGUGUUACAUUAUACUGUGUACACUAUGCUGUUCUGUUCAUAUGACCAUUAUCUAUCUCUCUAUCUAUCUCUAUCUAUAUCUAUAUCUAGGAAGUGUUACAUUAUACUGUGUACACUAUGCUGUUCUGUUCAUAUGACCAUUAUCUAUCUCUCUAUCUAUCUAUCUAUCUAUAUCUAGGAAGUGUUACAUUAUACUGUGUACAAUAUGCUGUUCUGUUCAUAUGACCAUUAUCUCUCUAUCUAUCUAUCUCUAUCUAUAUCUAGGAAGUGUUACAUUAUACUGUGUACAAUAUGCUGUUCUGUUCAUAUGACCAUUAUCUCUCUAUCUAUCUAUCUCUAUCUAUAUCUAUAUCUAGGAAGUGUUACAUUAUACUGUGUACACUAUGCUGUUCUGUUCAUAUGACCAUUAUCUCUCUAUCUAUCUAUCUCUAUCUAUAUCUAGGAAGUGUUACAUUAUACUGUGUACACUAUGCUGUUCUGUUCAUAUGACCAUUAUCUCUCUAUCUAUCUAUCUCUAUCUAUAUCUAGGAAGUGUUACAUUAUACUGUGUACACUAUGCUGUUCUGUUCAUAUGACCAUUAUCUCUCUAUCUAUCUAUCUAUAUCUAUAUCUAGGAAGUGUUACAUUAUACUGUGUACACUAUGCUGUUCUGUUCAUAUGACCAUUAU